CACCUCUAGCAUAACUAGUAUUAGAGGCACUGCCUGCCCAGUGACAAUCGUUAAACGGCCGCGGUAUCUUGACCGUGCAAAGGUAGCAUAAUCACUUGUUCUCUAAAUAAGGACUUGUAUGAAUGGCCACACGAGGGUUUUACUGUCUCUUACUCUUAAUCAGUGAAAUUGACCUCCCCGUGAAGAGGCGGGGAUAAUACAAUAAGACGAGAAGACCCUAUGGAGCUUUAAUUAAUCAACUCAAAAAGCAUAAAAUAAUACCACCAAGGGAUAACAAAGCUUUAGAUGAGCUGACAAUUUCGGUUGGGGUGACCUCGGAGUAUAAAAAACCCUCCGAGUGAUUAAAACUUAGGCCUACUAGCCAAAGUAUAGUAUCACUUAUUGAUCCAAAAUUUUGAUCAACGGAACAAGUUACCCUAGGGAUAACAGCGCAAUCCUAUUCUAGAGUCCAUAUCGACAAUAGGGUUUACGACCUCGAUGUUGGAUCAGGACAUCCUAAUGGUGCAGCAGCUAUUAAGGGUUCGUUUGUUCAACGAUUAAAGUCCU
rnacentral:rRNA from 1 species